rnacentral:rRNA from 1 species
UACGGAGGAUGCGAGCGUUAUCCGGAUUUAUUGGGUUUAAAGGGUGCGUAGGCGGACUGUCAAGUCAGCGGUAAAAUUGAGAGGCUCAACCUCUUCCCGCCGUUGAAACUGGUGGUCUUGAGUGGAUGAGAAGUACGCGGAAUGCGUGGUGUAGCGGUGAAAUGCAUAGAUAUCACGCAGAACUCCGAUUGCGGAGGCAGCGUACCGGCAUCCAACUGACGCUGAGGCACGAAAGCGUGGGGAUCAAACAGG